rnacentral:rRNA from 1 species
CCUACGGGAGGCAGCAGUGGGGAAUAUUGCACAAUGGGGGAAACCCUGAUGCAGCGACGCCGCGUGAGUGAAGAAGUCCUUCGGUAUGUAAAGCUCUAUCAGCAGGGAAGAAAUAAAGUCCUUCGGACUUUGGACGGUACCUGACUAAGAAGACCCGGCUAACUCCGUGCCAGCAGCCGCGGCAAUACGUAGGGGGCAAGCGUUAUCCGGAUUUACUGGUUGGAAAGGGAGCGUAGACGGCAGGGCGAGUCUGGAGUGAAAUCCCAGGGCUUAACCAUGGAACGGCGUUGGAAACUGGGCGGCUGGAGUGCAGGAGAGGUAAGCGGAAUUCCUGGUGUAGCGGUGAAAUGCGUAGAUAUUAGGAGGAACACCGGUGGCGAAGGCGGCUUACUGGACUGUAACUGACGUUGAGGCUCGAAAGCGUGGGGAGCAAACAGGAUUAGAUACCCCAGUAGUC